rfam:Rhizoctonia solani AG-1 IA unplaced genomic scaffold scaffold33, whole genome shotgun sequence.
GCUCCUAUGGUCUAGUGGUUAUGACGCUUCGUUGUGGUUCUUUAAAACUUCAUUUCCGAAGCAGCCUGUGUUCGAUUCACGGUGGGGGCA